GGGGGGGGGGGGGGCUAGGAUGAAAAACUUUGUCCUGCAUUUUUUUUUAGUUGUAAUCUCUGUCCUGCCUUUUUAUUUUUCACUCUAUUCGGUCCUGCCUUUUUUUUAUUAGUUUAUCCUGACUUUUUUUACCUAAAUUGUCAUCCUGCCUUUUUUUUUGCAAAGUGUCUCAUCCUGCCUUUUUUUUACUCAAAACUCCUGUCCUGCCUAUUUUUUUCAAAUUUCAUCCUAGCUCCCCCCCCCCAUAAAAAUCAAAUGGUAGCUCC
rnacentral:lncRNA from 1 species